UACGUAGGGCGCAAGCGUUAUCCGGAAUUAUUGGGCGUAAAGAGCUCGUAGGCGGUUUGUCGCGUCUGCUGUGAAAGACCGGGGCUCAACUCCGGUUCUGCAGUGGGUACGGGCAGACUAGAGUGCAGUAGGGGAGACUGGAAUUCCUGGUGUAGCGGUGAAAUGCGCAGAUAUCAGGAGGAACACCGGUGGCGAAGGCGGGUCUCUGGGCCGAUACUGACGCUGAGGAGCGAAAGCGUGGGGAGCGAACAGG
rnacentral:rRNA from 1 species